AUGAAUUUGUUGUUUAUUGCAGGUGAAGCAACGUGGAGGAAGGAUCAUAGAGGCGGUUGCAGAUUCGUUGAUGUUAUUGUUGUUUAUGCAUUUCUGAUUUAUAUUUGUUUUUCUGAUUUGUUGAUAUUCUCUUGGAUGCUGAUUUCCUGCUAUUUGUUCUUCCGGUAUUUAUUUCCUGAUACGAUUUCUCUUAUUUGCUCGGUUUCUGGUUUAUUGAAAUUUUCUGGUUUUAUUCUCUAA